rnacentral:lncRNA from 10 species
GGACUUGCUCGGGCCACGUGACCAGCCCUGCACCAAUCACAGAGCCAGGGUAAGGGGCUUCCAACCACACCUGGGCCACAGGCCCCUUCAUAGACCAAGAGUCCUUGUAGCGGUCCCAGCGUCUUAGCUGUGGGUGUGGGGGCUCCUGAGUGAAACUCGGGAGGUCCCGGAAGGAGGGGGCGAGGCCCUCAGCAGCUGUGGAGUCUGUGCCCUGAGGCCCCACACUGGGAACUGGGGACGAGGAGACGGGGACGCGGCCCGGGUCUUGACCUCCUCAGGCUCACCAGACACUGCGUUCAGGCCUCCGGGACGGUCCUGGUGGGGCUCGGCCCCCCUCGUCCUGCGCCUCCUCUGGGCCCGCGGGUCCCCAGCUCCCCCAGCCCCGCCGCGGGCCGCACCUCUCUGGACGGCGCUGUCAGGAGUAGGAGUUCAGCCCCAGCGCAUCCGCGCCAGGACCCGGGCUCUGUGGCCACUGAGUGCAGAACACGCCGAGCUUCGGAGGUCUGGGAGUUCCAAGUGGAAUUUGAAUUUUUAAUCUAAUUGUCUGAUUCGUGAACUCGGAAGCUGACGUCACGCCCAGACGUCCCAAGGUAUGAGCUGUAGAUACGCAUGUGAGCGCUGGUGGGAGACGCCAGGCUGGGAUUUCCGCUCGAUCUGGGAAUGAGCAAUGCAACCUAAUGACACCCGGAGCUCCUGAAUCACCUGGGGAAGAUGAAGAGAGACACUCUCUGGUGGGAACGUCUCCUAGAAACAAGGCCUAAGAUGGGGCGACCACAGCCCCACAGCUGUGUCCAGAUGCAGGGAGCACUCGCCUGUGCUCCAUGUGCCCGAGGGUGUUCUGAAGAUUCCAACUUUGCAUCAACUCAUAUUCACUGAAUGGAUCUUUGGAAAUGGUGAUACUGUUUUUGACCUUGAGAAAGUUUGACUUUCAUGUUACAUGAGAUGGACAGACAAGCAGUUCAACAUAUCACAGGACAGCAUCUGUGUGUGGAAAUAGUGGGGAGAACAGAGAUGGUGUGGUUAGCAGAAUCACGCCCCCCCAGUAUGUCCAUACUUAAAUCUGUGGGAUGUAUAAAUAUGUUACUUCACAUGGGAAAAAGGGCUUUGCAGAUGUGACUAAAGGUAUUGGCCUUGAGAUAGGGAGAGCAUCCUGGGUUGUCCAGGUGAGCCCAGUGUCAUCAUGUGAGUCCCUAAGAUAGGAUAACUUUCCCAGCUGGGUCAGAGAGAUGAGUCAGAAGGAGGAGAAAUUCAAAGCUUGAGAGAGCCUCACCCUGUUGCUGGCUUGGAAGGUAGAGAAAGCUGCCAAGGCAUGCACAUGGCCCCUAGAAGUUGGGAAGGCUGAGCCGAUAGGCAGAGAGAAAACAGGGGUCUCAGUCUUACAACUACAAGGAAAUGAAUUCUGCCAACAACCUGAAUGUGUCAGCAAAUUAUCCUCCCCUAGGGUCUCCAAAAAGGAACACAGCCUGUGGAUACCUUGAUGUUAGUCCAGUGAGGUCCACGUCAGACUUCUGACUUACAGAACUGCAAGAAAAUAUUUGUGUUGUCUAAGCCACUAAGUUUGUGGUGAUUUGUUGGGGCCGUAGUGGGAAUCUAAGAUAGGUGGUUAUGGUUCUGGAAGUAAAGGAAAGCUGCCCUUCAGCUUGCAGAGACUGGAAGGCAGCUCCACUUGAGGCCAGGGGUGUAUGUGCAAGGUAUUGGGUGGGGAGAGCUGACCUUAGGAUGGAGAAUAGAAACAAAUGUGCUGAGAAGGAUGCGUCCAGCUGCCCAGGAGAGAACGCUGGCAGUGCUCACCAGUAUCCUGAAAGGUAGAACAGGGUGAGUCAGCCCCAAAUAACCACCACCAUGAACUGGAAUCCUGAGAGCGAAUUACCCACUUAGCAGAGUGCUGACGCUGCCAUUUGCUUAGCAGACUUGGCAGAGGAUCAGCAGAACGACUUCCUAGAAAUGCUGGGGCAAAGAAACACAUUGGAAAGUGUGUGAUCUGCUGAAGUGUUUUUAUUUUCUAUUGAGAAUGUUGUGUUUGUGCUUUUUGUGUCCUAACUGUGAAAUGAUACAUUGAAAGAUUGAUUUUGUUAAGAAACUGCUCUUUGCUUGCUAUGAUCUUCUGGUAUUUUUGAAAGGUUCUCAGGGAGGGGGUCAUUUCUUUUUUUCUAUCACUGGCAAGUCUGAAUCACACACCAUUAUUUAUAGAGUAGUUGGGCAAUUUCUCUCAGCUUUUCUGAUCACCAGCUGUACCAGCUCUGGCAUAGAUCUUAGAACGUUGUCUGUGGCCUGUGGCGGUGAUGACUUCCUGGGAAAAGCCCACAUUGAAUUCUUAUGAUGAUGUUGAGCCUAGGUAUAAGUCUAUGUCCAUGACAAGGAGCAGGCUGAAUGGCCCUGGGAACCUGGCCCCCCUUCCACACUUCCCUGACAUUCACUCUUUAACCUGAUCUUUGUUGAGUGUGGAUUGUGGACCAGGCCCUCCCCUGGAUGCUGGGUGUGAGCAUCAGUGGGGAGAUCAAGUCCUGUAAAUCAACUCACAUGUCAGAGAUUUGGGGAGCAGAGAUGGUGGGAUGGCAGCAGGAUGAAAUCUGCACUAUCUGUAUACCACGAAGGUUAUUUUGACUUCACUCCUAAUACGUUAAACAUUCUAGAUUUCCAGAAAACUUACACUUUUUCACCAAUGUGAUGAACUUCAGCUGUGUUCUGUUGUUGCAGGAUCUACCCCUGCUAUCUCCCUGAGUCUAAGAAGCGUUAGUCAGGUGAAGCUGCAGCCCUUACCUGCAGGCUGCAGAGUAUCAUCCAUCCUGAGAGAUGUGGGGUUGUAGAGAGCAGGAGGGGCUGGAUGGUGAGUGGCAGGAGAGGAAGUGUGAAAUAUGCCUGGAAAUGGGUGAAGGGGAUACCUCCAGCUGUAAGGAUGCUGAAAGAUUUUCUUGAGGGAUGUUCCAUUGUUUUGGGGGUCAUUUAAAUAUGCCUUAUAUGUGUGAGUAUUAAAAAGAGAAGAAAGAGGGACCACUUUCAAUAAUGGGUACAACUUAUAGACAGAGACGAAUAAGAAGUAGAAGACGAACAACAACCAAAUGCACAUUCCUAACAAAUGCACAUGGAACAUUCUCCGGGAUAGUCUAUAUACUAAGUCACGAAACAAGCCUCACCAAGUUUAAAAAGAUUGACAUUAUAUGAAGUCUCUUCUCUGACUACUAUGGAAUGAAGCUAGAAAUCAAUAUUAGAAUAAAAACUGGAAUUGUAGGCCGGGCGCAGUGGCUCAUGCCUGUAAUCCCAGCACUUUGGGAGGCCGAGGCGGGUGGAUCGUGAGGUCAGGAGAUCGAGACCAUCCUGGCUAACAUGGUGAAACCCCGUGUCUACUAAAAAUACAAAAAAUUAGCUGGG